rnacentral:rRNA from 1 species
CACCAGCGCCCCGAGUGGCAACCGCGUUUAUUGGGCCUAAAGCGUUCGUAGCCGGUCAAGUAAAUCUUUUGUGAAAUUGUCAAGCUCAACUUGACACCGUGCAGGAGACACUGCUUGGCUAGGGACCGGGAGGAGUCAGAAGUAUUCCGGGGGGAGCGGUAAAAUGUUAUAAUCCUCGGAAGACUACCUGUGGCGAAGGCGUCUGACCAGAACGGAUUCGACGGUGAGGAACGAAAGCCAGGGGAGCAAAACGGAUUAGAUACCCGAGUAGUCCUGGCUGUAAACUCUGCGAGCAAGGUGUUGCAUAUUCUACAUGAAUAUGCAGUACCGAAACGAAGGUGUUAAGCUCGCCGCCUGGGAAGUACGGUCGCAAGACUGAAACUUAAAGGAAUUGGCGGGGGAGCACUACAAGGGGUGCGGCGUGCGGUUUAAUCUAACUCCACACAGAGAAUCUCACCAGGGGCGACGGCAGAAUGAAAGUCAUGCUGAAGACAUUACUUGACGAGCCGAGAGGUAGUGCAUGGCCGCCGUCAGCUCGUGCCGUAAGGUGUCCUGUUAAGUCAGGCAACGAGCAAGACCUGUGCCUACAAUUGCAACCGGGUCCUUUAGGACGACUGGGCACAUUGUAGGGACUGCCUCGGAAACGAGGAGGAAGGUGCAGGCUACGGUAGGUCUGUAUGCUCCGAAUCUCCUGGGCUACACGCGCGCAACAAUGGUAGGGACAAUGGGCUACAACUCCGAAAGGAGAAGUUAAUCCUCGAAACCCUACCCAAGUCCAGAUUGAGGAUUGUAACUCAUCCUCAUGACGAUGGAAUCCCUAGUAAUGGGACGUCAUCAGCGUCCCGUGAAUAUGUCCCUGCUCCU